rnacentral:rRNA from 1 species
AUUGAACGCUGGCGGCAUGCCUUACACAUGCAAGUCGAACGGUAACAGGUCUUCGGAUGCUGACGAGUGGCGAACGGGUGAGUAAUAUAUCGGAACGUGCCCAGUCGUGGGGGAUAACGCAGCGAAAGCUGUGCUAAUACCGCAUACGAUCUAUGGAUGAAAGCGGGGGAUCGCAAGACCUCGCGCGAUUGGAGCGGCCGAUAUCAGAUUAGGUAGUUGGUGGGGUAAAGGCCCACCAAGCCAACGAUCUGUAGCUGGUCUGAGAGGACGACCAGCCACACUGGAACUGAGACACGGUCCAGACUCCUACGGGAGGCAGCAGUGGGGAAUUUUGGACAAUGGGGGCAACCCUGAUCCAGCCAUGCCGCGUGAGUGAAGAAGGCCUUCGGGUUGUAAAGCUCUUUCGGCCGGGAAGAAAUCGCACGGGCUAAUACCCUGUGUGGAUGACGGUACCGGAAUAAGAAGCACCGGCUAACUACGUGCCAGCCGCCGCGGUAAGAC